CACCGUUCACUAGUGUCAUUAACUCAUUAUAUACUUUCUUUUCUCCUUUCGUAAACUUUCUUGUCAAACUAAUGAAAAUGGCCUUCUAAGACCCAUUACCUUAUUGCUUCGUAUACUACUAAUUAGCCCAAGAAGAAUCGGACCUCGGAGCUCAGUGAGAACGAUAGAAUAAAGGCUAACAGGAAGGUUAUCAGACUGUAAAUCGAGGUACUGCUGGGGAUGAUGGAGACGAGUAGUAGCGAGGAUUUUACUUUCAGUUAUCACUUAAUAGUAGUUAUAGUUUUAAUUUGUUUAAUUUGAAUAGUAAGACUAAGCUACUUAGUAAAGUUUGAGAUAAGAUAGGAUUUUCUAUUAUAAAAAUUAAGAAUAAUGUUUUUUAUAAAUAGAUUACUAUGUUUUAUAAAUCAAGUUUGUUAAUUAAGUA